rnacentral:rRNA from 1 species
GACGAACCGUGCGAACGUUGUUCGGAAUCACUGGGCUUAAAGGGCGCGUAGGCGGGCCCGCCAGUCUAGGGUGAAAUCCCCCGGCUCAACCGGGGAACGGCCUUGGAUACUGCGGGCCUCGAGUGGGGUAGGGGCGCGCGGAACGCCGGGUGGAGCGGUGAAAUGCGUUGAUAUCCGGCGGAACUCCGGUGGCGAAAGCGGCGCGCUGGGCCCCCCCUGACGCUGAGGCGCGAAAGCCAGGGGAGCAAACGGG